AACACACCCACUCAGCUGAAAAGAAAAGAGGGAGAGGAGAAGAGAAAACACUAUUCACCUACAACUUCAAUUCGCGAUAUCUCGAGCUACGGUGCUUCGAUUCGCCUGCCGUCAGCGGUUAUGCGAAGCUCUCGCUGAGCCCGUCACUUCUGUCCAAGAUUUAUGGUAAGCUUUUUGAAUUUUCAUGCCCAGUUUUCGUUCCCUUGUGAAAUUCGAAUUUUGGGUUUUGGUUUUGAGUGAAAUCUUGUGUUUUGGGUGUUUAGGUACACUCUAGCCCUUGAUUGAUGUUGGUUUUGGCUUUUAAAACUGUUGGACAAGCUUGAAGUUGAUAUUAUUGAAAAUUUGUUGGAGCUUGUUGGUGAAUUGUUGGUGGCUUGGAUUGUGGUGGAAAGCUCAAUUUGUGCUCAUUUGGGGUUUUGGUGCAUAUAGAAAAUCGGCCAAGAUGCAGGUCGCAACCCACCUCGGUGAGUUGUUUCGGAUGGUGACAGAAGCUGAGGAUCAUGAUACUUUUGAAGUUCUUUUGUUUAUUUUGUUUAUAUAUCUCUCACUUUUGUAUCUUGCUUUUUCCUAGAGGUUUGUAUUGAGAGAGAAAAACUUGUAUAAGCUAUUUUUUAACUUCAGAUUCUGUUUAAUUCUGUAUAUAUGGCUAGCCGGCUUAAACUCCACGAGC